rnacentral:rRNA from 1 species
AACGAACGCUGGCGGCAUGCCUAACACAUGCGAGUCGAACGAGACCUUCGGGUCUAGUGGCGCACGGGUGCGUAACGCGUGGGAACCUGCCCUUAGGUUCGGAAUAACUCCCCGAAAGGGGUGCUAAUACCGGAUAAUGUCUUCGGACCAAAGAUUUAUCGCCUUUGGAUGGGCCCGCGUUGGAUUAGCUAGUUGGUAGGGUAAAAGCCUAACAAGGCGACGAUCCAUAGCUGGUUUGAGAGAAUGAUCAGCCACACUGGGACUGAGACACGGCCCAGACUCCUACGGGAGGCAGCAGUGGUGAAUAUUGGACAAUGGGCGAAGGCCUGAUCCAGCAAUGCCGCGUGAGUGAUGAAGGCCUUAGGGUUGUAAAGCUCUUUUACCCGGGAUGAUAAUGACAGUACCGGGAGAAUAAGCUCCGGCUAACUCCGUG